rnacentral:lncRNA from 1 species
GCAAUUAUAAAUAAUGAAAAUUAAUUAAUUGAUUAAUAAGCACCUUUUCCUUUUAGGAAGGGAUCUUCAUUCUAUUAUAAUCUCCAGGUGUUGGGGAGGACCAUAAUAAGAGGAUCUCUGAAAAUCAGGCCCUUCACAGCUCUGGAAGACCAGGGCCAAAUAGGUUCUCAGCAGUUCAUCCAGAAACAGUGUUAAUCCAAUGGAGCACAUUUAUGGCAGUUGGAUCAGUUCUGCUUGAAGAAGAGCCAGCUAUGCAACAAUGGAAAGAGAGAUUGGAAUGAGGUGACCACAAGCCAAUGAACACCUGGAGCAACCAAACCUGGAAAAGACAGGGAAUGUAUGCUCCCCUAGAGUCUUGCAAGGGAGUGUGAGCUAUUGAUGCUGGACAUCUGGCCACCAGAACUGAGAGCAUAAAUUUCUGUUUUAAGCCAACUAAUUUAUUAUAAUUUGUUGCAGCAGCUACAGGGAAAUAAUACAGCAUUAAGUGAGAUCAUUGUGAAGAAUAUACUUAAUAUAUGAUCUACAACAUAAAUGUUAUUGGUAAGUAGAAGCUAUUGCUAUGCAAACUUUGAACUGUAUAAAACCUAGAGUGACUGCUGAAGGAUACUUACGAGAAGGACUCUCCUUUUAUUGAGCACUUCUUGCAUUGCCAUAUGUUUUCCUAGGUGGAGGUAUGCAUUAUAUAUUUUUCUCCUUCUAGCUAUAAUGAAAGUAAAUAUUAUGAUUUCUUUUGAUGGGUGAGGAUACUGAGGCUCAGAAAAGUGA